GGCCUGAUUGGGUGGUCUUGCCGCAAGGUAAGCACUGCUCUGGUCGGGUCUUUCCUUCUGGGGAAUCAGUGUGCUCUUUAUUGAGUGCGCUGGGGAUCCAGGACUUUUACUUUGAAAAAAUUAGAGUGUUCAAAGCAGGCAUUUUUGCUUGAAUACAUUAGCAUGGAAUAAUAAAAUAGG
rnacentral:rRNA from 1 species